rnacentral:lncRNA from 1 species
GGGAGGAUCUCAUUCGGGGAAGGUGUUGUAGUUCUGCUUCCUGGUGUGCUCUAGGUAUUGUUUUUCCAGGUUUUGCUGGAGCUCCUUGACUUCCCCCCAUGGUUGCCGCUACACCAAGACAGCUAUUUGCAGUCAUCUGCUCCACUAGGGUUGGAGUGAAGUGAUUGAUGCUGUGAGGUGUAUGGACUAAAGUCUGCAAUACCAGUUCUGCCUUGUGAAUUAUAAAUCUUCAAUACAGGAAUAGCAAGUUUCUUCUGAAAAAUUUUCAGAAAUUAUUUUAUCAGUAGAAGAUAACAGAGAGAGAAAUCGGUGCAUAGCAGCAAAUGUGGCAAAAAUCUUCAAAGCUGGGUCAUCAUCUCUGAGCAUCAAAAGAGCUAUGUACGGAAAUAGUCUUUAUCAAUUGAUAGCAAGCCUUUUUUUUCUCCACACAAGUAAUCUAACUUAGCUUUCAAAAUACUAGUGACAAUAUUAUCAGCAGUACCUUAAUCCAACAUUCAAAUUUAAGUUUUAAUUUUUUAAAAAUUUUAAAUUAAAGCAGCCUUUCAUCCCAAUUUGACUUCUGUUCACUCACUUUGCGAGACGUUUCCAUGAAUUUUAUGUGCGUGUGCGAGCAUCCUGAGGAAAAAAUAUACUGCUAAUAAUAUUUUCAGAGAAGGUGAGCUUAGG